GUGGUCACUUCGGGAGCACAUAUAUUAAAAUUGUAAUGAUACAGAGAAGAUUAGCAUGGCCCCUGCACAAGGAUGACACGCACGUUUAUGAAGUUUUCAUAUUUUUC
ensembl:snRNA U6 U6 spliceosomal RNA